GGAGGUGUGGAGUGGAGCCCUCUGGGACUUGGUUGUAUCUAGUGAGCUGUGUGUGGUUGUAUCGGAUUUUACUGUACUGUGUAUAUGUUUAUGUAUCAGUGUGUGUAAGAGAGUGUGUGUUGACAGAUUUGCCUGUGUGUGAGUGUGUGUACACUUUUGCCUGUGUGUUUGUCAGUAUAUGUAGGAGUGGGUGAGUUUACAGGUUUGUAUGUGUGUAUGUGUUCGUAUGUGUGUACUUCUUCUUGUGCGUGAGUGUGUGUCCCUGUGUGUGUGUGUCUGAUGUGUGUUUUUCCACGUUUGCUUGUGUGUAAGUAUGUGUGUUUUGUGUGAAUCUGGGUGUUUGUAAGAGUUUGUGUGAGUAUAAGUUCACUUCUGCGUAUUUCUGGGUGAGUGCCUCUGUGUGUGCCUGUGGUGUGUGUGUGUGUGUGUGUUUGCUUGUGUGUAAGUAUGUGUGUGCCUGUUCCUAUGUGAUUGUGUUUUGUGUGAAUCUGGGUGUUUGUAAGAGUUUGUCUGUGUGAGUGUAAGUACACUUUUGUGUAUUUCUGUGUGUGCCUGUGUGUGCUUCUGUGUGUGCCUGUGUGUGUUCCUGUGUGCCUGUGUGCCUGUGUGUGUGUGUGUGUGUGUGUGUGUGUGUGUGUGUUGUGUGUGCACACGUCCCCAUCCCGUUUUACCUGCAACUCAAUGCAAGAGAGUGUAGAGGCCAGAAGUCAGCCCGGGCUCCUGUUCCUGAGGUAGCAUUAGUACUGAUAAAAUGCCUACAGAGACUGAGGAGGAGUUACCACCUCCUAGCCCCGAUCCCAGUAUCUCUGAGGAGUGAACCUUUCAUUCCCAAUAUAAAGUAUUGAAGACUAUUGGAAAAGGAAGCCAUGCG
ensembl:lncRNA